UUUUCAUUAAAAAAAAAGAAAAGCAAAAGAAAAGAAAAGGGGAAGCAAGAGAGGGGCGGCAGAGAAAGAGAAGGAGGGAAGAAUUGUGCUCUUUGGGAGGAAAGCAAUCUUAGGCUAUAUUUCAUCUUCGUCCAAGCAAAAAGGAUGAAGAUGCUUGAGCAUGGGGUGCACGGAGAGGGAGAUCGAAGUCAAUUUUUUUUAUUUUUAUUAUUUUCUUGUGUCAAGAACUUAGUUGAUUUUUUUUUCUUUCUAAGGAAUUGUUGAAAUAGGUGAAUUGAAUAAGUGUCCAAAUAUUCACAAAUGGUGAUUGUUUUAAGUUUAUCUAAUAGAGUUCGUUUCAAUUUUCUUAUAGCGAGUUUUGUGUUAAUUUCAUUAGAACAUUUAGAGUUUAGGUUAAGAGCUACUUGUUAGCCUUGCAUGCACUUGGGGUUACCCAUGAGCGCGUGGCGUUGUUAUGUCUUUGACCUUCGGGUUGGAGGCGUGACAAUUUAAUGAUAUCGAAGCCGCCAGGUUUAGCUAUCCUUUGGCGUAACUUUAGUAUUGGGUAGCCAUAGGAUCAUGAUUGCAUGUGUUUGUUUGAGCAUUAAAAAUAAAUAAAUAGAGAAUCAAAGAUAAGAUUCAUGUAUUAUUAA